AUACAGCUUAGACCUUUAGUGUUCUCCAAAGGGUUGUGUGUUAAAGGCGUGGUCCCUAGGGUGGCAGUGAGGAGUAAUGGACUCCCCUUGCAAUUUCCCCAAACACAGGGAACUUGAAUGCACAAUUUGUGGCAGUAGGGGACUGUAUUCAUGUCUUCCCAUU
rnacentral:snRNA from 1 species